rnacentral:ncRNA from 4 species
GUAGCCAAAUGCCUCGUCAUCU